rnacentral:rRNA from 1 species
UUGGAGGGCAAGUCUGGUGCCAGCAGCCGCGGUAAUUCCAGCUCCAAUAGCGUAUAUUAAAGUUGUUGCAGUUAAAAAGCUCGUAGUUGAAUUUCGGGAUUAGUACGCUGGUCGUGCCUUCGGUACGUACUGGUGUUACUGAUUUCUACCUUCUGACGAACCAUCAUGUCAUUCAUUUGGUGUGGUGGGGAAAUCAGGACUGUUACUUUGAAAAAAUUAGAGUGUUUAAAGCAGGCUCGCGCUUGAAUACAUUAGCAUGGAAUAAUGAAAUAGGACGUUGAUCCUAUUUUGUUGGUUUCUAGGAUUGACGUAAUGAUUAAUAGGGAUAGUUGGGGGCAUUAGUAUUCAAUUGUCAGAGGUGAAAUUCUUGGAUUUAUUGAAGACUAACUACUGCGAAAGCAUUUGCCAAGGAUGUUUUCAUUAAUCAAGAACGAAAGUUAGGGGAUCGAAGACGAUCAGAUACCGUCGUAGUCUUAACCAUAAACUAUGCCGACUAGGGAUCGGAUGAUGUUAAUUUUUUAAUGACUCAUUCGGCGCCUUACGGGAAAC